rnacentral:rRNA from 1 species
GCUGGAUUCGCUAGUAAUCGCGCAUCAGCCACGGCGCGGUGAAUACGUUCCCGGGCCUUGUACACACCGCCCGUCAAGCCAUGGAAGCCGGGAGUGCCUGAAGUGCGUGAGCGCAAGCAGCGCCCUAAGGUAAAACCGGUGACUGGGGCUAAGUCGUAACAAGGUACC